rnacentral:rRNA from 1 species
CAAUAGCGUAUAUUAAAGUUGUUGCGGUUAAAAAGCUCGUAGUUGGAGUUCUGCCAGGUGACACUCGUCCGCCCAAGUGGUGUGUACAGGGUGUGCAUCUGGCCCUUUCAAGGGGAACGUGUCUGCACUUCAUUGUGUGGUGCGAGAUCCUUGACUUUUACUUUGAGGAAAUAAGAGUGUUCCAAGCAGGCUCUCGUCGUGCAUAGCUCAGCAUGGAAUAAUAGCAUUGGACUUCGUUUCUACGCUGUUGGUUGCAAGAAGCGAGGUAAUGAUGAAGAGGGAUAGUUGGGGGCAUUCGUAUUUAACUGUCAGAGGUGAAAUUCUUGGAUUUGCUAAAGACGGACUACUGCGAAAGCAUCUGCCAUGGAUGUUUUCAUUGA